rnacentral:rRNA from 1 species
AGACGGAGGAUCCGAGCGUUAUCCGGAUUUAUUGGGUUUAAAGGGUGCGCAGGCGGCCAUUUAAGUCAGCGGUUAAAUCGUGGGGCUCAACCCCAUUCUGCCGUUGAUACUGGGUGGCUUGAUUGCGGUCGAGGUUGGCGGAAUUCGUUGUGGUGCGGUUGAAUGCAUAGAUAUGACGAAGAAAACCGAUUGCGUAGGCAGCUGACCAGACCGCAAAUGACGCUCAUGCACGAAAGCGUGGGGAUCGAACAGGAUUAGAUACCCUGGUAGUCCACGCAGUAAACGAUGAUGACUAACCGUCGGCGAUAGACCGCCGGUGGCCAAGCGAAAGCGAUAAGUCAUCCACCUGGGGAGUACGACCGCAAGGUUGAAACUCAAAUGAAUUGGCGGGG